rnacentral:rRNA from 1 species
GAUGAACGCUGGCGGCGUGCCUAAUACAUGCAAGUCGAGCGAACGGACGAGAAGCUUGCUUCUCUGAUGUUAGCGGCGGACGGGUGAGUAACACGUGGAUAACCUACCUAUAAGACUGGGAUAACUUCGGGAAACCGGAGCUAAUACCGGAUAAUAUUUUGAACCGCAUGGUUCAAAAGUGAAAGACGGUCUUGCUGUCACUUAUAGAUGGAUCCGCGCUGCAUUAGCUAGUUGGUAAGGUAACGGCUUACCAAGGCAACGAUGCAUAGCCGACCUGAGAGGGUGAUCGGCCACACUGGAACUGAGACACGGUCCAGACUCCUACGGGAGGCAGCAGUAGGGAAUCUUCCGCAAUGGGCGAAAGCCUGACGGAGCAACGCCGCGUGAGUGAUGAAGGUCUUCGGAUCGUAAAACUCUGUUAUUAGGGAAGAACAUAUGUGUAAGUAACUGUGCACAUCUUGACGGUACCUAAUCAGAAAGCCACGGCUAGCUACGU